AUUGAACGCUGGCGGCAUGCUUUACACAUGCAAGUCGAACGGUAACAGGCCGCAAGGUGCUGACGAGUGGCGAACGGGUGAGUAAUGCAUCGGAACGUGCCCAGUCGAGGGGGAUAACUACUCGAAAGAGUAGCUAAUACCGCAUACGAUCUAUGGAUGAAAGCGGGGGACCGUAAGGCCUCGCGCGAUUGGAGCGGCCGAUGUCAGAUUAGGUAGUUGGUGGGGUAAAGGCUCACCAAGCCAACGAUCUGUAGCUGGUCUGAGAGGACAACCAGCCACACUGGGACUGAGACACGGCCCAGACUCCUACGGGAGGCAGCAGUGGGGAAUUUUGGACAAUGGGCGCAAGCCUGAUCCAGCAAUGCCGCGUGCAGGAAGAAGGCCUUCGGGUUGUAAACUGCUUUUGUACGGAGCGAAACGGCUCUGGUUAAUACCCGGGGCUAAUGACGGUACCGUAAGAAUAAGCACCGGCUAACUACGUG
rnacentral:rRNA from 1 species